UACGGAGGGUGCGAGCGUUGUCCGGAAUCACUGGGCGUAAAGAGCUCGUAGGUGGUUUGUCGCGUUGUUCGUGAAAUCUCACGGCUUAACUGUGAGCGUGCGGGCGAUACGGGCAGACUGGAGUACUGCAGGGGAGACUGGAAUUCCUGGUGUAGCGGUGGAAUGCGCAGAUAUCAGGAGGAACACCGGUGGCGAAGGCGGGUCUCUGGGCAGUAACUGACGCUGAGGAGCGAAAGCGUGGGGAGCAAACGGG
rnacentral:rRNA from 1 species